GAUGAACGCUGGCGGCGUGCUUAACACAUGCAAGUCGAACGGAAAGGCUCCUGCUUGCAGGGGUACUCGAGUGGCGAACGGGUGAUUAACCCGUGGGUGAUCUGCCCUGCACUUCGGGAUAAGCCUGGGAAACUGGGUCUAAUACCGGAUAGGACCACAUUUUGGAUGGUGUGGUGGAAAGUUUUUCGGUGUGGGAUGAGCUCGCGGCCUAUCAGCUUGUUGGUGGGGUAAUGGCCUACCAAGGCGUCGACGGGUAGCCGGCCUGAGAGGGUGUACGGCCACAUUGGGACUGAGAUACGGCCCAGACUCCUACGGGAGGCAGCAGUGGGGAAUAGUGCACAAUGGGCGCAAGCCUGAUGCAGCGACGCCGCGUGGGGGAUGACGGCCUUCGGGUUGUAAACUCCUUUCGCUAGGGACGAAGCGCAAGUGACGGUACCUGGAGAAGAAGCACCGGCUAACUACGUG
rnacentral:rRNA from 1 species